rnacentral:rRNA from 1 species
UACGAAGGGGGCUAGCGUUGUUCGGAAUUACUGGGCGUAAAGCGCGCGCAGGCGGUCCUUUAAGUCAGGGGUGAAAGCCCAGAGCUCAACUCUGGAACUGCCUUUGAAACUAGAGGACUUGGGUACGGGAGAGGUGAGUGGAAUUCCGAGUGUAGAGGUGAAAUUCGUAGAUAUUCGCAAGAACACCAGUGGCGAAGGCGGCUCACUGGCCCGAUACUGACGCUGAGGCACGAAAGCGUGGGGAGCAAACAGG